ensembl:lncRNA
UUGUUUUGUAUCAUAUUAUUGAUUUAUACCUAAACAUUUUUUUUUAAACCAACACCUUUUUACGAAGAGAGUAAUUCAUAGACGGUCCCUAAAUUCGAUCUGUCGAAUAUCCAACGUCCAACGUGAAACCAACUUCACCGCGGUUUAACAUUGAUGCUUUGACUCUUGGGAAACCUGCUGCGCAACUGCGGUGUUUAAUGAAAUGUUUGUAGUCGCAACCAAUAAUCCAAGAUUGGACUCGGGUAAAGGGACAUGUUGAUUAGGACGUGCAAGCUUUUGAGAGAGGAACAACUACUUCCCUGACGUGGAGUUACUAUAUAAAACCUCUUGGAACAGCUUGGAAACUUUCAGAACAAUCUGCAAUAAGUUGACUACAUUUUUAAUCCAGUUUCUGCGCCACUCCGUCCCCCUCAAACAUGUCCACCUCUCCUGCUGCCCCUCAGCCUAGAAGCAUGGACUACGACCUGCCUACAUGUGGAGAGAAUCGGUGCCAUGGUCAUGGGACAUGCGUGUCUCCCCAAGGGGGUGGCACAGGGCUGGUGUGUGAGUGCAUACUGGGAUACCGGGGAGAGUUCUGUAAAGACACAGUGAAUGGGGCGCUCAGUGUGCCGCUCACUCUCGGUGUGAUUGCGACCCUCCUUGGCGUGUUCAUUCUGGCUUUCGUCGCCGCCAAGAUAAGGCAAAGGCAGAAGGAAAAUCGCAGAUUAACAAGGACAUCUUCUAUUCCAGUGGUUCCCAAAGUGGGGUGUGGGGCCCCCUGGGGGGCUCAGAGGUACUACAAGGAGGCCCCAAAGCUUCUCUAA